CGUCAGCUCGUGUCGUGAGAUGUCGUAGUCUGCUAACGAGCGCAACCCUCGCUGUGUGUUAUAUGUGUCACACGGGACUGCCGGUCUUAAGCCGGAGGAAGGUGGGGAUGAUGUCAAGUCAGCAUGGCCUUUAUAUCCUGGGCUACACACACGCUACAAUGGCCAACACAAUAGGUUGCUAAGCCGCGAGGUGGCGCCAAUCCAUAAAGUUGGUCUCAGUUCAGAUUGUAGGCUGCAACCCGCCUGCAUGAAGAUGGAGUUGCUAGUAACCGCAGGUCAGCUAUACUGCGGUGAAUACGUUCCCGGGGCUU
rnacentral:rRNA from 1 species